ACCCUGAUCCAGCAAUGCCGCGUGUGUGAAGAAGGCCUUCGGGUUGUAAAGCACUUUUGUCCGGAAAGAAAACCAUCGCCCUAAUAUGGUGGUGGGAUGACGGUACCGGAAGAAUAAGCACCGGCUAACUACGUGCCAGCAGCCGCGGUAAUACGUAGGGUGCGAGCGUUAAUCGGAAUUACUGGGCGUAAAGCGUGCGCAGGCGGUCUGUUAAGACCGAUGUGAAAUCCCCGGGCUUAACCUGGGAACUGCAUUGGUGACUGGCAGGCUUUGAGUGUGGCAGAGGGGGGUAGAAUUCCACGUGUAGCAGUGAAAUGCGUAGAGAUGUGGAGGAAUACCGAUGGCGAAGGCAGCCCCCUGGGCCAACACUGACGCUCAUGCACGAAAGCGUGGGGAGCAAACAGGAUUAGAUACCCUGGUAGUCCACGCCCUAAACGAUGUCAACUAGUUGUUGGGGAUUCAUUUCCUUAGUAACGUAGCUAACGCGUGAAGUUGACCGCCUGGGGAGUACGGUCGCAAGAUUAAAACUCAAAGGAAUUGACGGGGACCCGCACAAGCGGUGGAUGAUGUGGAUUAAUUCGAUGCAACGCGAAAAACCUUACCUACCCUUGACAUGGUCGGAAUCCCGCUGAG
rnacentral:rRNA from 5 species